UACGUAGGGUGCGAGCGUUAACCGGAAUUACUGGGCGUAAAGCGUGCGCAGGCGGCGCGUUAAGACAGGUGUGAAAGCCCCGAGCUUAACUUGGGAAUUGCGCUUGUGACUGGCGUGCUGGAGUGUGGCAGAGGGAGGUGGAAUUCCACGUGUAGCAGUGAAAUGCGUAGAGAUGUGGAGGAACACCGAUGGCGAAGGCAGCCUCCUGGGCCAGCACUGACGCUCAUGCACGAAAGCGUGGGGAGCAAACAGG
rnacentral:rRNA from 1 species